UCAAGGCCUGCAGAAGAAUAUUGGAGGUAGGACAGGAGAAAUUUGCUUCAUGCAAAAAAAUCUCCACGUUUGAAUUUCUCUCACUUAAACUCUCUAAGGCCUACAUAGACAAUUUAGGAGGUGGAAAAGGAGUAAUGUGCUUCAUGCCAAAAGAAAAUCCCAUUUAUUUUUCUACCCAUGGCCCUUAAGGCCUGCACAGAGAACAUCUGAGGAGUUAAAGGAGACACGUACCACAUGCAGAUUUCCUCUUUGGUUUUUUAACCUCACCCUUACCUUAAAGUCCUUGUGCUUUGUGACCGAGAACUCACAAUAUACUUGGAGCGAAAAGGAGAAAUCUGCUCCCUGCAAAAUCUUCCCCCUGAUCUGGCCACCACAGGCCUUCCCCCAAGCCUUUGCAUUAGGAGAGAAAUGAAAAUGUUUGAGACAAAAGAAAAAGGUAAAACUUGCUUCAUGCAGACAAACCUCCUGCUUAGUACACCACCUCUGGCCUUCAAGGCCCCUUCACUUAGACUUGAGAUGAAGAGGAGACACGUGCUUCGUGCCAGUAAAUCUGCGGCUUAUUUCUCCCCCUUAGGUCUCCAAGACCUUUUAUUUGAUAAUGGAGGUGGACUAGCCCGAGUGCCAAACAGAGAGAAUAGAUUCCUACACCGUCUGUCUGGCUCCAGGCCUAAAUCUAGCUGUGCACCCUCCUGUGCUCCCUUCAGGCUCCACGCCUGGUCUUUAUGGCUUGGGUUGUUGGACAGAGAGCCAAGAGGUAGCAGUGGGGUGAAGAGCUUCAUGCUACUUCCCCCCCACCCCCCAGUCCCUGAAAGGGGUUUCCCUUUUAUCCUUCCACUCUGCCUGCUCUGCCACCUCAACCUUGGACAAAGUCACCAAACCACUCCUUGCCAUGGAACCAGAUCCUGCAUCCUAAGAGCUGAGGUCUUCUAAGUGUGGAAAGGAUGGAGAAAGGAAUGGGGCCAGCCGGCUCGACUGGAGAAAGGCUCCAUUCCCGCCAUAGAACGGAGGAGGAAGGAAAAUCGGAGGACGGUUGGGUUUGGAGAAAAUCCGGCUACUGGUUAAGAGGAAAAGGCUCUGGACCCGAGGCUCGGGUCCAGGCUAGUGGAGGGCGAUCAAAGAAACGUGGAGGUGGAGGAGGGGGAGGAGGGAUUUUGUCUCAUGCCAAAUUCCAGAAAAGCUUUACUUCAUGUGAAGCGGCCUCCCCUCCAGGGCCUUCCUGCCUUCAAGACCUGAAAAGAAACUAUUUGAGUCCUAAAAGGGCUUCGGAGGCAACCUGGGACAUUUCUCUUGGGAGCCUUCUGGCUUUCUGAGCGGUUAGAACUGCUCCAUUUGGACCAUUUUGGCUCAUUUUCCACGUUCAGAAAUUGGUCCAGUUUUAGAGGGAAAUACCUUUCACAAGUCUAUAGUGUUAUGUCAGGAUUACAAUUCCAAACCUGUUAUGACGAAAGCACAACGGAGAUAACCCCUUGUCCCUCUCUAAAUCCUGGUUGACCACUCAAUGUUCAAUGGAAUGUUAUUUCGCUCUCAUUCAGGAGAUAGAAAACAACAAAAAGAUUCAUGCAAGCCACCACAGCAGCCUUUAAAAAGUCAAUAAAAUAGUUCAAUAAAAUAAAAAUAAACCUAAAAAGCAAAAGGAGCGGCACAAUAAAAUACAAUAAAAUAGUUUAAAUAAAAUUUAAUACUAAAAUCACUGACAUAUAAAAUCCAUGACAUAUAAAAAUGCACAACACUCAUUCCCUUGGACAUUGAUGUAUGGGAAAUCUUAGGAUAAAAGAGAAAGAAAAAAAUACCGAGUAUUCGACGACCAAAAACGGGGAGGUUGAUCUCUUUGCCUUUUCUAUCGCGAUCAGAUGAAUGGCUUUAUGAGCGCCAACUGACUAUAGCACUAUAGACUUACAGCAAAGGAAACGUCAGCCCAGGUUCAAGGCAGUUUUACUUCAUACACUUGGUUUCAGAAUGCCUGGCACAUUGAGUGUUUUGUCGUCAAGGUUUUGAAUCUGUGCAGAACUGGGGGGCUGCUACUCUGGGCUGGAUCUCGCCUGACCGUCGGUUGGUAAGCACCGGGAGGAGCAGAGGUAAGCGCGGGCCGGACGGAAGGAAUGUACGCAUUUCGGGGAAGGGUGGGUUCAGGGGGGAUGUCCUCAGGGUGGCCCUGGGCUCUGGAAAGCGUUCCCCUCCUGAAUGUCAGUGCAUCCGCACCUACCUUAGUUUGUCCUCUGCAACAUCUGCCGGUAGGAUUUUUGUUGCCCACGUAGAGCAAAGAGAGAAUCAGCGUUCCUAGGUCCAGGGAGAGAAAAGGAGGCGACGGUGCCACCGACCAAGAGGGAGAAUACAGCACGCUACUGCGAUGCCCGUCGGAGUGACGGCCGUUGUCCCCGCGGCCCCGUAUUGCAGCGGGGGGUAGCGGGGGCAGCCCGGUGAGAGGGGCCCGGGGGGGAGGCGGAGAAGGAUGCUGACAGACUAGGCCCGAGGAGGUGGGGACGGAGGGUCUCAACUAAGCCCACUGCAGCACUGCCACUAGGUGCCCCCUGCUCCUCAGUGGGAGGCCCACUGCAGGGGGGACGGUGGCAGUGCGGGGGAAGGAGCAGCAGGGAAGAGGGUGUGGCCGGGGACCCCUUCCCUAUCCUGUCCCCUCUGUCUUCAUUCCUUUUUCCCCAGCCCCUUCCAUUUCUCCUCCUAACCUUUCCUCCCUAAAGACAAAGAGUGAAAAAUGUUGUUUCAACAGCCUACCUCCAACAUUCGAGGACCACGGAUCUGCAGCCAAGCCAGCCCUACCUUCUCCCUGGACUCUCAACAGCUGGAGGGAAACAGUCCUGAAGCACUCCUGACUUCACCCCACGGGACCCGGACCCAUGCCAGCGCAGACCACCCACCUCCGCCCCACCCCAAUUCCCCACCAGCCCAGACCACCCAGCCCCGACCCAAGCCUCAGAAUGUCUUCUGAGGCCUGGGGUUGUCCCUGACCCCCACUGGAUCCACCCCUGCCCCUUCCAGCACCAUCAGAGCUAGCCAAGAGGAGCAGAAACUGGGAGAGCAGAGGAGAACAACUUGCUGCUGCUGCUGCUGCUGCUGCCACCAGCUGUGGGUCCCAAGAGUUGCACCUGAACCUAGACCCGCCUACUUUACCCUGGCCAAAACUCUGAUUGCUCUUCACUCAUCAAGGCUUAACCCGUCUAUGUUCAGGUUUCUCCACUUGUACUCUGAGCUCCUUCCAAAAUGUUGGGACCUAUGGAAUGGCCAUAAGAAAACGAAGUCCUUGCUCAUGUUGUGGAAACCGUCCUGGUACCCCUUUUCCUUUUUCUACACCUGUGCCCAGAAAAGAAUACCUGUUCUUCCCCCCAACCGUUGUUACUCAGUAAAACUUGUGAAAAACCCA